rnacentral:ncRNA from 1 species
AGUCUUCAGGGCGGAGUGAAAUUCUCCACCGGCGGUAUAGUCCGCGAGCGCAAGAAGCGUUGAAUUGGUGAAAUUCCAAUACCGACAGUAUAGUCUGGAUGGAAGAGGACA